CAGUCGAGCGGUAGAGAGAAGCUUGCUUCUCUUGAGAGCGGCGGACGGGUGAGUAAUGCCUAGGAAUCUGCCUGGUAGUGGGGGAUAACGUCCGGAAACGGACGCUAAUACCGCAUACGUCCUACGGGAGAAAGCAGGGGACCUUCGGGCCUUGCGCUAUCAGAUGAGCCUAGGUCGGAUUAGCUAGUUGGUGAGGUAAUGGCUCACCAAGGCGACGAUCCGUAACUGGUCUGAGAGGAUGAUCAGUCACACUGGAACUGAGACACGGUCCAGACUCCUACGGGAGGCAGCAGUGGGGAAUAUUGGACAAUGGGCGAAAGCCUGAUCCAGCCAUGCCGCGUGUGUGAAGAAGGUCUUCGGAUUGUAAAGCACUUUAAGUUGGGAGGAAGGGCAUUAACCUAAUACGUUAGUGUUUUGACGUUACCGACAGAAUAAGCACCGGCUAACUCUGUGCCAGCAGCCGCGGUAAUACAGAGGGUGCAAGCGUUAAUCGGAAUUACUGGGCGU
rnacentral:rRNA from 1 species